GUAACUAAAUUUAACACAGUUGGUCAUUUCAGGAAAAAGAAGAAAAGCCUAAAAUAGAUUUUUUUACUCUGUCACAUCCAUUAUGAGCAAGCUUGAACUAACAGGGAAAAUUGUUGAGUUACAUCCUUAAAGGGACUUUGGUUACAUAACUAAAGCAUAGUGAAUAAACUCUUCUGUGUCCUCUCAUUAAAGGCAAAGAAGAAAAAGAUGAAACUGAAGAGCAGCUCAUAUAGCUACAGGAUAUCAACAAAGUAAACAAGGCUCCAGAUGUGGUGCUGAGGGGGUGAGGUGUUUGUAUGUCAUCUGCUCGGGCGGCUGCGCGUACACCCAUCCGAGGGGGAUGCUGUCAGCCCUGAUGGAGGGGGCCCGGGCCCCAGGCCUGAGGUGGUGAGGCGAGCGGGUCACAGCCUACGCACAUCUGGAAGCACUUCAGGUCAGCAGGGCCCAACUGCCUGAAAGAAGACACAUCAGAGGCUUAAAGACUGACCAAACGCGCUUGUGAAACAUGGUUGAAGACAGAGCGGGAAGCCCAGAUCUCGAAGCCUUGGCUGCAGCACCAUGCAGGCCUGGUGGAGGCACAGUGUCCGGUUACGCAGCGCCUGAGGAAUGAGCUCAAAGUCUCUUUUAUCAAAGCAUUUCUGUAUUGCUCCCUUUCUGGGAUACAUUAAUUGCAGAUGUGUUUGUUCUAUUUCUUUCCUUUCGUUCUCCCCUUCCUUCUCUUGAUCUAUAAACGGGAAUAAUCCCCAUCUUUCUACAAAAACAGUCUCAUUACAGGAGAAUGCAGAGACUGGCUGCGGCCUACAGCAUGUGUGCUGAGAGGCCGAUUGAUCGACUGAGGCUUUUUAAACAAUCGAGCUGAACUCUGACGAUAGGGCCGAUGACAACACAAAGCUCCAGUGUUAACAUCACGUUCAUCUGUAACUGCAAUCCCUGCUGAAACCCCGAAGUAGGCGAGUGGUUUAAUCUUCUUUUUCUGAGCUUUUAUUUAUAUAGGCUCUUUUGUAGAAUUACCCGUACAUUUUUUGUAUAUUUCUUAGAUUUGCAAAAUAUGUGUUCUCGAAUCAACCAGUGAACUGAAAACCUAGUUGACAGUCAUUGAUGAUUGUGAG